AUCCCAAAUCCAAGACGAACUCGAGCAAUGGGGUGCCAUGGAAUCCUUCGCCCGUUCUACAAAAGUAUUGCAGGCUUCUCGCCCAAACUUUCGUUAGACCGAGUGGCCCGAACUCCACACAAGACCAUGGAUCACGACGUUGAAACAAACACUCUUGAGGAUUUAGAUAACCGGCCUUUAAAAAAAGCAAGAUGUUGUGAAUCAGUUAUUUUGGAUGAUUUACCUUCCGUCUCAGCAUUAUCUCUGGUUUCUGAAACUUGUU